GAGGAAUAUUGGUCAAUGGGCGGAAGCCUGAACCAGCCAUCCCGCGUGCAGGAAGACGGCCCUAUGGGUUGUAAACUGCUUUUCCAGGGGGAGAAACUUUCCGAUGAAUCGGGAUUUGACGGUACCCUGGGAAUAAGCAUCGGCUAACUCCGUGCCAGCAGCCGCGGUAAUACGGAGGAUGCGAGCGUUAUCCGGAUUUAUUGGGUUUAAAGGGUGCGUAGGCGGAUCGAUAAGUCAGUGGUGAAAACCUGCAGCUUAACUGUAGACUUGCCGUUGAUACUGUUGGUCUUGAGUAUGGUCAAGGUAGGCGGAAUGUGUAAUGUAGCGGUGAAAUGCUUAGAUAUUACACAGAACACCGAUUGCGAAGGCAGCUUACUGGACCAUCACUGACGCUGAUGCACGAAAGCGUGGGG
rnacentral:rRNA from 1 species